GUAUGUGAGGGCAAUCUCACUGUGACAUCUGUCACCCCAUUGAUUGCCAGGGUGUAUGUGGCUGAUUUGCUGGCAAGUCAGGUGUCCCCUUCCUCACCAUUUCAUGUGCCUUCCAUGAAUGGAGAUGUUCCAGUGCUCAGUCAAGGGUAUAAGAGUAGCUACACUCCUCUACUUGAACCACCAAACAAGCUCUUGAGAAACACACCUGUUAUGUAUAUGGCGUUUGUAACUUUAUGCAUUUAGUUAGUAUAUGUGGUAACUGAAAUUCAAACUAGGUGACUAGUAGGUGACUAGUGUUACUUAAUU
rnacentral:snRNA from 1 species